rnacentral:rRNA from 1 species
GGAUCAGUACGCUGGUCGUGCCUCGUGUAUGUACUGGUGUUACUGGUUCCUACCUUCUGACGAACCGUCAUGUCAUUAAUUUGGUGUGGCGGGAAAUCAGGACUGUUACUUUGAAAAAAUUAGAGUGUUUAAAGCAGGCUCGCGCUUGAAUACAUUAGCAUGGAAUAAUGGAAUAGGGCU